GACGAACGCUGGCGGCGUGCUUAACACAUGCAAGUCGAACGGAAAGGCCCUGCUUUUGUGGGGUGCUCGAGUGGCGAACGGGUGAGUAACACGUGAGUAACCUGCCCUUGACUUUGGGAUAACUUCAGGAAACUGGGGCUAAUACCGGAUAGGAGCUCCUGCUGCAUGGUGGGGGUUGGAAAGUUUCGGCGGUUGGGGAUGGACUCGCGGCUUAUCAGCUUGUUGGUGGGGUAGUGGCUUACCAAGGCUUUGACGGGUAGCCGGCCUGAGAGGGUGACCGGCCACAUUGGGACUGAGAUACGGCCCAGACUCCUACGGGAGGCAGCAGUGGGGAAUAUUGCACAAUGGGCGGAAGCCUGAUGCAGCAACGCCGCGUGCGGGAUGACGGCCUUCGGGUUGUAAACCGCUUUCGCCUGUGACCGAAGCGUGAGUGACGGUAA
rnacentral:rRNA from 1 species